CCUACGGGAGGCAGCAGUGAGGAAUUCUGGUCAAUGGGCGUAAGCCUGAACCUGCCAAGUCGCGUGAGGGAUGAAGGUUCUAUGGAUCGUAAACCUCUUUUAUAAGGGAUUAAAGUGCGGGACGUGUCCCGCUUUGUAUGUACCUUAUGAAUAAGGUUCGACCAACUCCGUGCAAGCAGCCGCGGUAAUCAGGAGGAUCCGAGCGUUAUCCGGAUUUAUUGGGUUUAAGGGGUGCGUAGGCGGCCUUAUAAGUCAGGGGUGAAAGUCUGUGGCUCAACCAGAGAAUUGCCGAUGAAACUGGGAGGCUUGAGUAUGUUUGAGGCAGGCGGAAUGCGUGGUGUAGCGGUGAAAUGCGUAGAUAUCACGCAGAACCCCGAUGGCGAAGGCAGCCUGCCAAGCCAUGACUGACGCUGAUGCACGAAAGCGUGGGGAUCAAACAGGAUUAGAUACCCGUGUAGUC
rnacentral:rRNA from 1 species